GACAGAGGUCCCGAGCGUUAGGCGGAAUCACUGGGCUUAAAGCGUGUGUAGGCGGAUUUGUAAGUACCUUGUGAAAUCCCACAGCUUAACCGUGGAACUGCUUGGUAUACUGGCGGUCUUGAGCCACUUAGGGGCUACCGGAACAAAUGGUGGAGCGGUGAAAUGCGUAGAUAUCAUUUGGAACGCCAAUGGUGAAAACAGGUAGCUGGGAGUGUGCUGACGCUGAGACACGAAAGCCAGGGGAGCAAACGGG
rnacentral:rRNA from 1 species